rnacentral:rRNA from 1 species
GAGAAAAGCUUGCUUUUCUGCUGACGACCGGCGCACGGGUGCGUAACGCGUAUACAAUCUGCCUUAUACAGAGGGAUAGCCUUUAGAAAUGAAGAUUAAUACCUUAUAGUCUAUAUAUAUAGCAUUAUAUAAAUAGUAAAGCUUCGGUGGUAUAAGAUGAGUAUGCGUCCUAUUAGUUAGUUGGUGAGGUAACGGCUUACCAAGACAACGAUAAGUAGGGGCCCUGAGAGGGGGAUCCCCCACACUGGUACUGAGACACGGACCAGACUCCUACGGGAGGCAGCAGUGAGGAAUAUUGGACAAUGGAGGCAACUCUGAUCCAGCCAUGCCGCGUGCAGGAAGACGGCCCUAUGGGUUGUAAACUGCUUUUAUAUAGGAAGAAACCUUUUCACGUGUGAGAAGCUGACGGUACUAUAAGAAUAAGGACCGGCUAACUCCGUGCCAGCAGCCGCGGUAAUACGGAGGGUCCGAGCGUUAUCCGGAAUCAUUGGGUUUAAAGGGUCCGUAGGCGGGAAUCUAAGUCAGUGGUGAAAUCUUGCAGCUCAACUGUAAAAUUGCC